UACGGAGGGGGCUAGCGUUGUUAGGAAUUACUGGGCGUAAAGCGCACGUAGGCGGCUUUGUAAGUUAGAGGUGAAAGCCCGGGGCUCAACUCCGGAAUUGCCUUUAAGACUGCAUCGCUAGAAUUGUGGAGAGGUAAGUGGAAUUCCGAGUGUAGAGGUGAAAUUCGUAGAUAUUCGGAAGAACACCAGUGGCGAAGGCGACUUACUGGACACAUAUUGACGCUGAGGUGCGAAAGCGUGGGGAGCAAACAGG
rnacentral:rRNA from 1 species